rnacentral:rRNA from 1 species
UGGAGACAGGUGCUGCAUGGCUGUCGUCAGCUCGUGUCGUGAGAUGUAGGGUUAAGUCCCGCAACGAGCGCAACCCUUGUCUUUAAUUGCCAUCAUUGAGUUGGGCACUUUAAAGAGACUGCCGGUGUUAAACCGGAGGAAGGUGGGGAUGACGUCAAGUCCUCAUGGCCCUUAUAGGUGGGGCUACACACGUCAUACAAUGGCUGGUACAAAGGGUUGCCAACCCGCGAGGGGGAGCCAAUCCCAUAAAGCCAGUCGUAGUCCGGAUCGUAGUCUGCAACUCGACUACGUGAAGUCGGAAUCGCUAGUAAUCGUGGAUCAGAAUGUCACGGUGAAUACGUUCCCGGGUCUU